AAAUUACCAAUAACUAGGAAGCACAUAUGCUAUGGAGAGAAGAAAAAUCGUUUUCAGGCAACAGAGAAUGCAGAUCGUAUUUGAUGAUGCCAAAUGAGUUACAUCUGUUUGCAGAGUCCAGCGAUGACUGAUAAGAAUUCAGUAGGUAUCAGGAAGUGCUUUACAUAAUUGCACAGA
rnacentral:lncRNA from 1 species